rnacentral:rRNA from 1 species
UACGUAGGGUGCGAGCGUUAAUCGGAAUUACUGGGCGUAAAGCGUGCGCAGGCGGUUUUGUAAGCCAGAUGUGAAAGCCCCGGGCUUAACCUGGGAAUGGCAUUUGGGACUGCAAGGCUGGAGUGUGGCAGGGGAGACUGGAAUUCCUGGUGUAGCAGUGAAAUGCGUAGAUAUCAGGAGGAAUACCGAUGGCGAAGGCAGGUCUCUGGGCUGACACUGACGCUCAUGCACGAAAGCGUGGGGAGCAAACAGG